UACGAAGGGUGCAAGCGUUAAUCGGAAUUACUGGGCGUAAAGCGCACGUAGGCGGUUUUUUAAGUCAGAUGUGAAAGCCCCGGGCUCAACCUGGGAAUUGCAUUUGAAACUGGGGAACUAGAGUGUGUGAGAGGGGGGUAGAAUUCCAAGUGUAGCGGUGAAAUGCGUAGAGAUUUGGGAAUACCAGUGGCGAAGGCGGCCCCCUGGCACAACACUGACGCUCAGGUGCGAAAGCGUGGGGAGCAAACAGG
rnacentral:rRNA from 1 species